rnacentral:rRNA from 1 species
GAUGAACGCUGGCGGCGUGCCUAAUACAUGCAAGUCGAGCGAACGGACGAGAAGCUUGCUUCUCUGAUGUUAGCGGCGGACGGGUGAGUAACACGUGGAUAACCUACCUAUAAGACUGGGAUAACUUCGGGAAACCGUAGCUAAUACCGGAUAAUAUUUUGAACCGCAUGGUUCAAAAGUGAAAGACGGUCUUGCUGUCACUUAUAGAUGGAUCCGCGCUGCAUUAGAUAGUUGGUAAGGUAACGGCUUACCAAGGCAACGAUGCAUAGCCGACCUGAGAGGGUGAUCGGCCACACUGGAACUGAGACACGGUCCAGACUCCUACGGGAGGCAGCAGUAGGGAAUUUUCCGCAAUGGGCGAAAGCCUGACGGAGCAACGCCGCGUGAGUGAUGAAGGUCUUCGGAUCGUAAAACUCUGUUAUUAGGGAAGAACAUAUGUGUAAGUAACUGUGCACAUCUUGACGGUACCUAAUCAGAAAGCCACGGCUAACUACGUG